AAAAUAUAAAACUUAUCCGAACAAGGACCAUUUUGAUUUAGCUACCCAACCUUUAAAACUUUUAUUUUACUAAUCAAACCUUUCAAUUUGUUCGAUUUGAGUCGUUCAACGACGCUUAAUUUCAAAUAUAAAUUUAUUGAAGUAAUUAGUUUAAAUUUUGAAGUCAAAGUGCCGUCGACUGAUUGGGUGAUAAAAUGCAAAAUUUGAAAGAUUUGAUAGUCAACUUAAGACGGUUCAUAGUUCAGAUAAGUUCUGUACUAUUCUACCGAUUAGUUAUCAAA
rnacentral:lncRNA from 1 species